rnacentral:rRNA from 1 species
GUGUCAGCAGCCGCGGUAAUACGUAGGGGGCAAGCGUUGUCCGGAAUCAUUGGGCGUAAAGCGCGCGUAGGCGGCCCUGUAAGUCCGUUGUGAAAGUCGAAGGCUCAACCUUCGAAAGCCGAUGGAUACUGCAGGGCUAGAGUCCGGAAGAGGCGAGUGGAAUUCCUGGUGUAGCGGUGGAAUGCGCAGAUAUCAGGAGGAACACCAAUAGCGAAGGCAGCUCGCUGGGACGGUACUGACGCUAAGGCGCGAAAGCGUGGGGAGCGAACAGGAUUAGAAACCCCAGUAGUCC